rnacentral:rRNA from 1 species
GACGAACGCUGGCGGCGUGCCUAAUACAUGCAAGUAGAACGCAGUUGCGAACGGGUGAGUAACGCGUAGGUAACUGCCUCAUAGCGGGGGAUAACUAUUGGAAACGAUAGCUAAUACCGCAUACUGUGAGAUGGACCUGCGUUGUAUUAGCUAGUUGGUGAGGUAAAGGCUCACCAAGGCGACGAUACAUAGCCGACCUGAGAGGGUGAGCUGGCAAACCGGGAAUGGGACAAGGCCCAGAAUCCUUCGGGAGGGAGCAGUAGGGAAAUUUCGGCAAUGGAGGGAAGUCUGACCGAGCAACGCCGCGUGAGUGAAGAAGGUUUCCGGAGUGUAAAGCUAUGUUGUUAGAGAAGCGGUAACUAAACAGAAAGGGACGGCUAACUCCGUGCCAGCCGCCGCGGUAAUAC